GAGCGAGAGGAAGAUGAAGGUGGCUGUGCUCAGCGUGGCCCUGCUCUUCUCCAUCCUGCUGUGCCUCCCAGCACAGAGCAAGGCCGACAUGGAGGGCAGUGGUGUUAUAUGUGCUGGGCAAAUUGGUGGCAUUGGUGACGGCAAGUCAGGCAUUGUAGGAGGCAUAGGUGGAUGCAUUCCGGUAAGUCCUGGCAUUGGGGCACCAGUGUGGGAACUGGGGGCCAGUUGGGUGCCCUCAUGCCUUGCUGGGACUGGGGACACCCCAGUGACCAGUGACAUCUCCCCACCUCUCUACAGAAACCAAAAGGCAUGGGACGAGUGAAGAGGUCUGAGGUGGAGCUUCUGCAGGAGUGAUGCCCGGCUGCCCCUCUGGAUGCCCUGGCCUGGAACUGGUGGUGACACUCACGUCCUGUCCCUCUCUAGCGGCAUGAGGAGAUGAUCAUCCCUGGAAAACCCCCCUGAUUCCCUGGGAGCCCUUGGAAUUUCCCUGGAAUAAUCAAUAAACCCCUUCAGCAAAGCAA